rnacentral:rRNA from 1 species
CAGUCGCCGCGGUAAUACGAGGGGGGCAAGCGUUGUUCGGAAUUAUUGGGCGUAAAGGGUGCGUAGGCGGUCUGAUAAGUCUGAUGUGAAAUCUAUGGGCUCAACCCAUAGUCUGCAUCGGAAACUGUCAGGCUUGAGGAUGGGAGAGGUGAGUGGAAUUUCCGGUGUAGCGGUGAAAUGCGUAGAUAUCGGAAGGAACACCUGUGGCGAAAGCGGCUCACUGGACCAUUUCUGACGCUGAUGCACGAAAGCUAGGGGAGCAAACAGGAUUAGAUACCCCCGUAGUCCCUGUCUCUUAUAC